GAUGAAGAACGUAGCGAAAUGCGAUACUUGGUGUGAAUUGCAGAAUCCCGUGAACCAUCGAGUCUUUGAACGCAAGUUGCGCCUCAAGCCAUUAGGUUGAGGGCACGUCUGCCUGGGCGUCACAUAUCGUUGCCUGAUGCCAGUUUCCUCGUGAUGGGUGAAUGUGCAGGGCGAAUGAUGGCUUCCCGUGAGCAUUGUUGCCUCAUGGUUGGUUGAAAAUUGAGUCCUUGGUAGGGAGCGCCGUGAUAGAUGGUGGUUGAGUGACGAACGAGACCCAAUCAUGUGAGACCCCUACCGAAUUUGGCCUUCAUGACCCACAUGCGUCUUUGGAACGCUCAUGACGAGACCUCAGGUCAGGCGGGGCUACCCGCUGAGUUUAAGCAUAUCAAUAAGCGGAGGA
rnacentral:misc_RNA from 1 species